GAUCCAUCAGUCACAGAGACACACACUGAUUCUGUGAUGACAGAUUCAUCAGUCCCUGAGACAGGCCCUGUUUCUGGUCAUCGUGAUCUUCAGGAGUUCCUCUCGGAUGAGAUCCCCUGGAUCCGCAUCGGCCUCAUCAGCGGAGUUCUGCUCGUUACUGCCGUCGUUCUGGGUUUAUUACUGAUAGCUGGAAGAGUCUGAGUCGUUGAGAGAAAAGUAUCGAAGGAAUUAAAG